rnacentral:rRNA from 1 species
AUUAGCUAGUUGGUAAGGUAACGGCUUACCAAGGCGACGAUCAGUAGCCGACCUGAGAGGGUGAUCGGCCACAUUGGAACUGAGACACGGUCCAAACUCCUACGGGAGGCAGCAGUGGGGAAUAUUGCACAAUGGGCGAAAGCCUGAUGCAGCAACGCCGCGUGAGCGAUGAAGGCCUUCGGGUCGUAAAGCUCUGUCCUCAAGGAAGAUAAUGACGGUACUUGAGGAGGAAGCCCCGGCUAACUACGUGCCAGCAGCCGCGGUAAUACGUAGGGGGCUAGCGUUAUCCGGAAUUACUGGGCGUAAAGGGUGCGUAGGUGGUUUCUUAAGUCAGAGGUGAAAGGCUACGGCUCAACCGUAGUAAGCCUUUGAAACUGGGAAACUUGAGUGCAGGAGAGGAGAGUGGAAUUCCUAGUGUAGCGGUGAAAUGCGUAGAUAUUAGGAGGAACACCAGUUGCGAAGGCGGCUCUCUGGACUGUAACUGACACUGAGGCACGAAAGCGUGGGGAGCAAACAGGAUUAGAUACCCUGGUAGUCCACGCCGUAAACGAUGAGUACUAGCUGUCGGAGGUUACCCCCUUCGGUGGCGCAGCUAACGCAUUA